GAGCAGGAGGCUCCAGUCUGGCCAGCUGUGGCUCUGUAAACCACAAUGACUUUGAGACUUUUAUGUAGGAUUGUGGUCAAGAACUUUGUCUUGUCAGCAGCAGUUGGAUGUGUUUUGAACAGGCCUAACAAACUGAGCUUCUGGCUGCCAGGAUGGGCAGCUUUGGACAAAUACUUGCUUUUUUUGAGGAAGAUUGUAUGUAAGCAGACUACAUAGAAUAUCAUAGACAAAUGAGAAAAGCAGCCUCUGAUACCUGAUAACCUUUUUCUACAAAGGUUGAAUUGGGUUCUA